rnacentral:tRNA from 2 species
AGAAAGGUAAGCUAAAUUUAAGCUAAUAGGUUCAUACCCUACUUAUAGAGAUAACUCUCCUCUCUA